rnacentral:rRNA from 1 species
UACAGAGGUCUCGAGCGUUAGGCGGAAUCACUGGGCUUAAAGCGUGUGUAGGCGGGUCGUUAAGUGCCUUGUGAAAUCCCAUGGCUCAACCAUGGAACUGCUGGGCAUACUGGCGAUCUUGUGCCACCUAGGGGCGAGCGGAACAGAUGGUGGAGCGGUGAAAUGCGUAGAUAUCGGAAGGAACACCGGUGGCGAAAGCGGCGCGCUGGAUCUCUUCUGACGCUGAGGCGCGAAAGCCAGGGGAGCAAACGGG